UGAUACCAUGUCUAAGCAGAG
rnacentral:piRNA from 1 species